UGUAAAGGCGCUAACACUUAAGUUUUCCUUUUCACAAACCCGCGCCCUUCUCCUUCAUUCAGAGAUUAGACUUCCCCUUCUUCUUCGCCACUUUCACCAUUCUUCUUUGCCUUCACUCACCACCACUCACCGUCGCCAUUCUCCUUCGUCUUCACCUUCGCUCACGACUCACCUUCUCCGCUCCUCAUCUUCACCUUCGCUCACCACUCACCGUGCUCACCAUCAUCAUCUCGUGCGAUCAGCGUCGCUGCUUACCAUAGUCGUCUGUGUGCUCACCGUCGUUGUUCACCAUCGUUGUUUGUGCGCUCACCAGAUUUGGAUAAAUUUCUUUUACCAAGAUUGAGAAGGAAGAUUCUUGGUUCUUGGAGUCGUAUCAGAAGAAUCCUGGUCAAGCUGCGACUUUCGUGAAGCAUAUUCAAGAAGGGAUUGAGAUUGCGGCCAGAGAUGAGAAUGCUCUGCUUUUGUUCAGUGGGAGAGAGACUCAGAAAGAUGCGGGACCUCGCAGCGAGGCGCAGAAUUACUGGGCUGUAGCAGAUUACAAGGGAUGGUUUGGGUUCAUCGAGCUGGGCCGUGGGAAAAAAUAUAUUGUGAACCAAAAGAAGUAAAGGCUGCAAUUGUUACCUGUGGAGGCCUCUGUCCUGGUCUUAAUGAUGUCAUUAGACAGGUUGAUGAGCUUGUUGUUCAAGCAUUUAAAGUCAAGAAUUUAAGCAAUGAGGGGAGAAAAAGAAAUCAAGUCUUUCUCCGAUUUCUUGUUUGAUAUGCAUUCAUCUUUUAAGUGCCUGUUGCAUUGUUAUCUGCCUUAUUGCUAGCGAUGAUUUUAUAAAGUUUGAUGUGAUUUUGGGAAGCGAGAAAAUCAAGGCAAGUGCAUUUUAAACUUAAAUGUCAGCUGCAUUAUGCAAACAUUGUUCAAGGCAUUAACAAUUUAACAUAUUGUCGUAUGUUGUUAAUUUCUGAUCUUUUUGUUUCAUGCAAUAGGCUCCAGUACUUUUCCAGGAGAUUGGCCAUUCAUUAAACCCUUCCAAUAGCUUGGUGUUGAAAGUUCUCUCGGCAUCUCCUUUAGCUUAUUGGAACUUCAAUGUCAUUUGUCUCGGUUGUUCAGUAUAAGUGACGACAUUGGUAAAACUGAAGGUGAAACUGGUGGACAUGUUCUUUGUGCAAUUGAUAUGCCAAGUUUUAGGUGUUGUUUGUAACUGAGUCUUUUUCUUUGUUAGUUUACUAAUUUAGUCAUGUUUUUUAGAGCUAUUGAAUAGAUAGAAUAACAUUUGAUCAAACCCAAAGGCUUAGUUAUUAUUGUCUUUAAACAUGGUUUGAACUUUUUAAAUGUGUAUAAUUUUGA